GGAGGGCUGUAGCUCAGUGGCAGAGCAUCUGCUUUGCAUGCAGAAGAUCCCAGGUUCAAUACCUAGUGUCUCCA